rnacentral:pre_miRNA from 1 species
AUCUCCUGUCUUUUUUAUAAGAAACAAGUUUUAGUGUAAAUAUACUAAAACUUGUUUCUUAUAAAAAGGACCAGAGGGAGUA